AUAUUUAUAAGGCAGAUGAGACACCAUAAUCACAUAAUUUUACCCAGGCCAAAGCUUAUCCAUUGUACCCCAGAUAUGCUGAUUCCUCCAUUUCCCCAAAUGUGGGAAAUUCAACUGCAUAAUUUAUAGUAGUAGGGGGGUUGCAUUCACACACUGCCCUG